AACACGGGAAAUGUGCUUAACCUAUUUUCAAUUUAUUUGUCAGAUUAGCAUAGCAUUGUACUACGACGCAGUUUACGAAUAUUCCGAACCGAGAAUAUUACGAACAGAAACCUCAACGGAGUAAAGUGAAUGAUACCGUAUACCAUAGAGAAGACAGUAAACGAAGUAAAUAUAUGCAGAGAAGUCGCGGACGGCUUGCGUAUAUAUUUCGAUUUCGCAUAUUACCUCAUCUCCUGUUAUAUAGUGCUUCCUGUUGAACCGGUAAAAUAUAACAAUCACCCCACCACCACCACCAUCAUCAUUAACCGUCGUUUAUAAAAAAGAGGCCGCAAGAGGACGAGCGACAAAUGAUAUUGACUGGUUUAGUCGUAAUGGCGAAGCUCGCCGAAGAGCCGCUGGAAACGGAAGACAUUCUAACGAUUUGUUGGGAGCAGAGUCAACACAAGUACACAGAGAGAAGAUUACUAGCUGUUGAAUGUUGCUCCUACAUACCAAUAUCAGCUGCUGUUAGAAACUCGUUGAUGCUGUCAAUGCGCUUCCGGAGUAGUACUACCGGAACUGAGGCAUCUCAAAACGUUGGUAAAUCAAUGCCUACCUCAGCAAGAAGAUGCAGUGCGUUUCUUGCUCAGAGAAGCGGAGUGCAGGCAGUAUUUACUGAAUGAAGCCAAUAGAUAGGACACUCGACGAGCUCCGGGUUUUCCCUAUCGAUGACGACGGUGAAUGUCUGCCAAGGAUAUGCGCCAGAAGAUGAACAAGAUCUCUUCAACAGAAAAUUGAAUCGCCCAGCAUGUCGAGUAUUUUCCGCAAGAAGUAAACUCCCCUUUGUGUCUUAUAGCAAGAAAUUCUGUGUGAGAAAAUCGAGUAUCACGUCGGCAAGAGAUUCGCGAGUGCAAGCACAAAAAAUUGUUGUUAAGCAUAAAUGUAUAAUGUUGUUUCAACGAAUGUUAACUUAUUUUUUUAUCGCGCUAGCUCUAUGAGUGACGUGUAAAUUAUUUUGUUUAAAUAUUAACACGGUCUGAGGAGUUUAGAGAUGAGAAAAGACGAAUGUUUUUUCACGUUUUGUAAAAUUCGGAUGUCCAUUGUGUCUGCACUCUCGCAGCGUUUGGAAUUUUCUCACUUUCUCAUGAUCCUCUUUAGGUAAAAGAAAAGAAAAAGAGUAAAUUCAAAACGCCACGAUUAACAGUAAUUAAUGUUUAAUUUCGAAGUCUGUCACUUUACAUAGUAAUAAACAAACGUCAUAGAUCAUA